rnacentral:rRNA from 1 species
UACGUAGGCGGAUCAGAAAGUUAGGGGUGAAAUCCCGGGGCUCAACCCCGGAACUGCCUCUAAAACUCCUGGUCUUGAGUUCGAGAGAGGUGAGUGGAAUUCCAAGUGUAGAGGUGAAAUUCGUAGAUAUUUGGAGGAACACCAGUGGCGAAGGCGGCUCACUGGCUCGAUACUGACGCUGAGGUACGAAAGUGUGGGGAGCAAACA